GUCCUCGAUGUGAAGAUGGGACUUUGUCUCCGAUAGGACACUCUUACCUCUACUGCCAUGGAUAGAUGCAUCUGUAGUAGCCAGACUGGCCAUAAUGAGCUUCAAAGGCUGGAGUAAGAAGUCAUGAAUUUGAGAUCGUUAUGAACAAAUUCACUGUGAAAAUGAAGAGACAUUACUUAGGGCUACGGGAGAUUGAAAAGAGUGCUCAACUGUUGUGUUAAUCUCAGGAGAGAACCAAUCUUUCCGACCACCAUCUCAGCCAGUUCUCCAAUAAACCACGGCCGAAAACAUCCAAACAAUACAAGCGACAGUGAGUGU